rnacentral:rRNA from 1 species
GACAGAGGGUGCAAACGUUGUUCGGAAUUACUGGGCGUAAAGCGUGUGUAGGCGGCCUUGCAAGUCGGAUGUGAAAGCCCCGGGCUCAACCCGGGAAGUGCACUCGAUACUGCAGGGCUUGAGUGUCGGAGAGGUUGGUGGAAUUCUCGGUGUAGAGGUGAAAUGCGUAGAUAUCGAGAGGAACACCUGCGGCGAAGGCGGGUUGCUGGGCUGAUACUGACGCUGAGGCGCGAAAGCCAGGGGAGCGAACGGG